UGGAGUGGUUGAACAGGGCUGCCUGCUAAGCAGUUGUACUGGAAACGGUACCGAGGGUUCGAAUCCCUCUCUCUCCGCCA
rnacentral:tRNA from 1 species